rnacentral:tRNA from 1 species
GUUACUGUACUUUAAUUUAGAAGAUUUGGUUUGCAACUAAAAAGUGAAUAAGUAGUUCCAGUACCA